UUAUUACUUUUGUUAUUUGCUUUCACGCAAUCUAUUGUCGAAGCCCAGCAAACGCGUCCUGAAGGUUAUGGUGUUGCUGCUAAACUAAAAGAGACGACACGAUUUGCCACUUUUGGGAAUGGGAAGUUCUAUCACACUCAGCAUGGCGCCUGGCUGAUUACCAUUAGUUCAAAUCGUUGCAGCAUGACUUAGCUGGCACGCGGAUCCGCAAAGUUGAAGAAGUGCGAAAAUGAGUCGAUCGAUGGGUCGCCGCCAAAUCAAUAAAAGUGCUUUCGACAUGCAUGAUAACGCCAUGCCGUCAAAUAUGAUGAAAACUACUUCGAUUAAUGUGCAUUGUAGCAUAUUUUUCUCAAUAAAUGCCUCUUCCAAGUGACCAAAAUUUUUGCAAACACGCAAUAAUUUUUAGUGUGAAAAUUAUUCUGAAUGUCUUGCCAAUGCGCCUCAUAAUUGGUCCAUCGUUCGUUUAAGUGAGCUUGUUUUAUUUGCCAUUUUCGCAAAUGAUGAGCUUCUGAUUUGGUCCAAGCUUGUAUUUCUUCAUUCAGUAGAGUGCAGUGUGUAACCUUCAAAGGUGAAAAAUGUGCGUCAAGACGAACAACAGGCAUGACAUGAAAUGUGUUUUUUCAUUUGUUUAAGUUUUCAAUAAAACAAAAAGCAUAUUAAACUAGUAACCACUAGUUGAAUGCAUUCAACAUUUCUUCUCGAUUGAUGGGAAGGAUUAUGCGCAGUAACGGUUUUAGCGUUUGUGAGCGUAGGCGCGGACAUGUCAAAUAUUAUACGGUUUUCGUUCGUCUGUCAACUUGAUAGAUAAAAACAAACUCAACGCAGCUUAGUUCCUGGCGAGCCCUAACACCUGGCGGUUUUUUAACGCUCAAUGAUUUUUUUCCAGUACCUUAAACUUUCUUUAAGAGCAUCAACUAAAAGCUAUGAAAAAAAAAUUAAGAAUUGUGUUUUUACAUUAAAUUUACACACAACUAAGAUUCGAUAAGUGUGUCUGUGUCUGUGCAUUUGUCAACGUGUCGACGUGUCAACAUAAGAGCUCAAGUUUCUAUGUAUAUACAUGCAUAUAUAGACAACCGAAGUUUCAUCUUGAAUAUACCCAAGCUGGAUCAAAUGAUGACAAUCGAUGCGGUUAAUCAAGCAUGCAAUGAAAAUGAGAAAGUGGAACGAAACACUAACUCUGAAGAAGAUGACUCAUCCACCGAAUGGAACAAUUGUGUACGAUUUUCGGAUAAACCACCUUUGGUGAAGCGUUUAACGAUGGGUUUUCUAAAAGCCCAUGAGGAGUCGAGACCUUUAGUUAAUUUAGAUACACCCACAGGAGAAGUUAAAACUGAAGAAAACUCAAUUUCAAGAGAUACGGAGAUUUCGAUAGACCUACAAAUCUAUUCUAAUGGUUAUGUUAAUGAAGACAACUUCGGACCUGAUACUUUCAUUAGUAGUAAAUUCGGCGACUCUUGCCGUCAGUCAUUAACAGCUUUCCCAGCAUUGGAUAUACCUAAUGUGAACGAUAGUAGUGAAUAUAAAUUAAGGAACAGGCACCUUCGAGAAACGAGCAGCGCGAAUUCGAGUCCAAAGACAUUUGCAAACCGUUUAAAAUCAACGCAUCCGAAAUACAAUCAGACCAGUACUAGUUCAGAAAAAAGCGAAUGUUGGUCGUCUGAAAAAGAAGAGAUUGAACUUAAAGAUGCGCCGUGGUUUCAAGCUGGUAUUUCUAGAGAAAUAGCUGAAGAGGUAUUGGCUUCGAAAAGCCCGGGUGCCUUUUUCGUUAGACGUAGUGCAUCAAAGCUUGGCUGUUACGCAUUGACACUUAGAAUAUCAUCGCCUGUAGAACCUAAGACGGCUAAUUAUAUUAUAUUAAAUACCGUCAACGGUUACAAAAUUAAGGGAUUUCGAAAAGAAUUCAAAACGCUGAAGGCCUUAAUAACGCAUCAUUCUGUAAUGCCCGAACUGUUGCCUGUACCGUUGGCCCUGCCCAGACCUCCAAAUCUAUCCAGCUCUCGUCGAAAUAUGGACGAUUUCGAUACUUACGAAUCUUUGAAGAUGUUUUUCCAAUAUAUAGAAGCCAAUAAUCGGAUGGACACUUAAAGAUUUAUAAUCCGACCAUUGAUUUUAAUAGCUUACAGCGCAUCUACAGCGAAAGAAUUUUUUAUGGAUUUUUUCUUUUCUUUCUUUACCGGGAUACUAUGUGCCGAAUCCCGAAGGGCGAGGAACGGAAAAAAGCGCAA